rnacentral:rRNA from 1 species
AACGAACGCUGGCGGCGUGCCUAACACAUGCAAGUCGAGCGCGAAUGGAGCAAUCCUAGUAGAGCGGCGCACGGGUGCGUAACACGUGGGUAAUCUGCCUAGAAGAUGAGGAUAACCAGUCGAAAGACUGGCUAAUACUCGAUAAGCCCACGGGGACUUCGGUCCCUGAGGGAAAGGUGGCCUCUGUAUACAAGCUAUCACUUCUAGAUGAGCCCGCGGCCCAUCAGCUAGUUGGCGGGGUAAGUGGCCCACCAAGGCGACGACGGGUAGCUGGUCUGAGAGGACGAUCAGCCACACUGGAACUGAGACACGGUCC